rnacentral:rRNA from 1 species
UACAGAGGGGGCAAGCGUUGUUCGGAAUUACUGGGCGUAAAGGGCGCGUAGGCGGCCUGCUAAGUCGAACGUGAAAUCCCUGGGCUCAACCCAGGAACUGCGUCCGAUACUGGUUGGCUUGAAUCCGGGAGAGGGAUGUGGAAUUCCAGGUGUAGCGGUGAAAUGCGUAGAUAUCUGGAGGAACACCGGUGGCGAAGGCGACAUCCUGGACCGGUAUUGACGCUGAGGCGCGAAAGCUAGGGGGAGCGAACAGG